UUUAAAUUUAAUGUUUGGUGUUCCCUUUAGGUAUUUUUCCGGUACAGAAGCCAAUAAAUCAUUACGGUUAAAAGCCAGAAGGCUGGCCGAGUAGCGGAUAGUUAUAAAUAGUUGCACUAUUGUUUGAAAACUUCAAUCGAAAGCUUGGGAAUAUCUUAAACAGAAAACUUGGGAAUAUGUAAGAUAAUGGGAAAUCUUUUCUCACCAAAAUCUCUCAAAUUCGUUUUUAAAAAAUACCUUUUCGUUUUCUUGUGACUUCUGCCCAUGAUGCGCUGGCCUUAUGAGAACAAAGAAGAUGGAACAUGGGAAAUUUACAGACAGAAUUUUAAACUGAUGAAGAUUCUUCGUAUGAAGAGAACAACAAAUGUAAUGGUCACAUAAAUUGCAGUGAUAAUAUUGAAAAUUAUAAAGAAUGCCGGUAUUACAAUUUAUUUUGAAACGAAAGUACCAUAAGCAGUAAAAUACGUAAUUUACAAACACGCAAAAAAAAGGGUGGGCCUGGAUUUAUGCACACAGUAGUAUUUCAUCUAUUCCAGUUUACGAAAAAGGUGCAGUUGCACAAAACACAUAUCCGAACUUUACUAUUGUUUGUUACAGAUAUAUCAUCUAAUACAGAACAACGGGAUUUUUAAAGUAGAAUAUCCGUGCCCAUGCAUGAAGUCAAAUUACCGAGUCAUCGGCGUUUCAGAUCUAUGUGUUAACAGUUACAAAACGACAUCUAAUGAAGACUACGUCUCAAUUCCUUCCAUAACCUUCCCCCUCCCGCAAAAGAAAGCGAUUUUGGAGAAGUCGUAGAGUUCACAGUCGAUCAUGAAUUAUCUUUCAUCUCUUUAGUAAAGACUCAGAUAUACAAACCGGGGGUUAAAAGCUAAAAAUAUAUGAAAAUAAACUCUACAAUCCUUCAAAGGUCAACAUGAGAUUGCUGCAAUUUCUGUGUACGGAAAAAGGCCUUAAAUAGUUUCUAGACACAUAAGAAAUAUAUAUAUAUAUUAUUGAAAGUCGCGCCUUCUCUGAAUGUUUAUUGUCACUAGCAGAAACGGUUUUAUAAUCACUGCUUUUCUUCAGUGUGAUGUUUAUGAGUUAAUAUUGUUACGAAUUUGGUAUUUAAAAAGCUAAUGUUAGUUCAAUUAUAAAUUAAAUGGUUUUAUUUCUUGCGCAGUGCAGCGCGUGACGAAUA